rnacentral:rRNA from 1 species
CGAUCGCUCAGGUUCUUGGACAAGGCGGCCCUAGAGAGGGCGGGCGACAAGGGGCGACCAGCGAGCCCGUGGCGGCUGUGCACGGUUACACAGGUGGAGGAGAUCAAGUGUGUGCUCCGUCUGCUGCCGGUGUGGGCGUGCGGCAUCAUCUUCGCGGCCGUGUACACGCAGGUGUCCACCACCUUCAUCCUCCAAGGGGACACGCUGGACCCGCGCAUCGGCAGCUUUUGCGUCCCCGCUGCAGUGCUCACCGUCUUCGACACGCUCAGCGUCAUGCUCUGGGUGCCGCUUUACGACCGCGCCAUCGUCCCGCUCGCGCGCCACCUCACGGGCCACCGCCGCGGGUUCACGCAGCUGACGCGCAUGGGCAUCGGGUUCGUCAUCCUCACGGUCGCCACUGGCAUGCUUGAGGUCGCACGGCGCCGCGUGGUCACGUGCAACGGCACGUACCGCGGCACGGACGGUGCAGAGUACGUGUCAUUGUCCAUCUUCUGGCAGGUGCCCCAUUAUGUACUAUUGGGCGCGGCGGAGGUGUUCACUUUCAUCGGGCAGAUGGAGUUCUUCUACGACCAAGCGCCUGACGCCAUGCGGAGCAUCUGCUCAGGGCUCGCCAGCGCGGCUUUGGCGCUGGGCAACUACGCGAGCUCGGCGCUCGUGUCCGUCGUGGUGUGUGUCACGACGAGCACCGGCCGGCCCGGGUGGAUCCCCGACGACAUCAACCACGGGCACUUGGACUACUUUUGGCUGCUCGCCAUGCUCUGCGUCGGCAAUUUCGGCGGGUACCUGCUCGUGGCACGGUGGUACAACUACAAGAUGACCGCGGAUUAA